UAUUCAAUUAAAAAAUUAAAUGAUAAAGUUCUAUAGGCCAUGUGUAAUUUUCAAAAACAAUUUCUAACUUGUGCAUUUUGUGGCCAACUUGUAUCAUAAGUAGUCAACAUGUGCAACACAUGGCUAACUUGUUGGCUAAGUUUUCAACCUAUUAAUUACCUAUAAACAUUGAUAAAGUCAAAUCGGCAUCUAUGAAGCUUCCAAUGACCAUCUCAGUAGAAUAUUAUCAAAUUAAUACACUUUUAUGUACUUCUAUCAAACUCUGCUUUUUAUCCUAAUUAUUAAUGUCAAUAUUGAUGUUUGUGACAUCAAUAGAUGGCCACCAUGAAAAUUAUAUACCACCACUUAUCUUACUUUUAUCUAUAUAUCCAUAAUAUAAAUAUGUAGCAUUAUAACCAGCUUUCACAUAAAUUCCAUUAUA
rnacentral:lncRNA from 1 species